rnacentral:lncRNA from 1 species
UUUCCAUGGCUUCCUGUGGGUCCCCAGCCUGUCCUGGAGAGUUCUCUGCUCUGUGAAUGGACUGUGUGUCCCAGCCUGUGAUGGGAUCAAGGACUGUCCCAAUGGCCUGGAUGAGAGAAACUGCGUCUGCAGAGCCACAUUCCAGUGCCAAGAAGACAGCACGUGCAUCUCGCUGUCCAGAGUCUGUGACCGGCAGUCUGACUGUCUCAACAGCAGUGAUGAAGAGCAGUGCCAAGAAGGAGUGCCUUGUGGGACAUUCACCUUCCAGUGUGAGGACCGCAGCUGUGUGAAGAGGCCCAACCCACAGUGUGAUGGGCAGCCUGACUGCAGGGACGGCUCGGACGAGCUCCACUGCGGUGAGCCUGUUCUGCCAGCACUGGGAUGAGGGGCUAGCAGGGAGGGGAGAGUCCCCCUGGGGAAGCUGGAAGGGAGUCUCACAAAGUGUUGCUUGUCUCUCUGUCCCUGACCUCUGUUGUCUAUCUUGAACCUGUCUCUCCUUCGUUUUUCUCAUCCCUCUCCAUCUCUCUGCUUUGUUCUUCCUCUGUCCUCUAUUUCUCAUUGGCCUUUCCCCCCUCUUCUCCUCCCCUGUCCACCCCUGACCCUCCCUCUCUCCCAGACUGUGGCCUCCAGGGCCCCUCCAGCCGCAUUGUGGGUGGAGCAGUGUCCUCUGAGGGUGAGUGGCCUUGGCAGGCCAGUCUCCAGAUUCGGGGUCGACACAUCUGUGGAGGGGCCCUCAUCGCUGACCGCUGGGUGAUCACAGCGGCCCACUGCUUCCAGGAGGACAGGUGAGUGGGCAACAUGGGGGAGGUGUGGUGUAUGAGCUCUCU